AACGAACGCUGGCGGCAUGCCUAAUACAUGCAAGUCGAACGAGAUCUUCGGAUCUAGUGGCGCACGGGUGCGUAACGCGUGGGAAUCUGCCCUUGGGUUCGGAAUAACUUCUGGAAACGGAAGCUAAUACCGGAUGAUGACGUAAGUCCAAAGAUUUAUCGCCCAAGGAUGAGCCCGCGUAGGAUUAGCUAGUUGGUGGGGUAAAGGCCCACCAAGGCGACGAUCCUUAGCUGGUCUGAGAGGAUGAUCAGCCACACUGGGACUGAGACACGGCCCAGACUCCUACGGGAGGCAGCAGUAGGGAAUAUUGGACAAUGGGCGAAAGCCUGAUCCAGCAAUGCCGCGUGAGUGAUGAAGGCCUUAGGGUUGUAAAGCUCUUUUACCCGGGAUGAUAAUGACAGUACCGGGAGAAUAAGCUCCGGCUAACUCCGUGCCAGCCGCCGCCGUAACAC
rnacentral:rRNA from 1 species